rnacentral:rRNA from 1 species
GUGGACGCUGGCGGUAGGCCUAACCCAUGCAAGUCGAACGGCAGCACAGUAAGAGCUUGCUCUUACGGGUGGCGAGUGGCGGACGGGUGAGGAAUACAUCGGAAUCUACUUUUUCGUGGGGGAUAACGUAGGGAAACUUACGCUAAUACCGCAUACGACCUACGGGUGAAAGCAGGGGAUCUUCGGACCUUGCGCGAUUGAAUGAGCCGAUGUCGGAUUAGCUAGUUGGCGGGGUAAAGGCCCACCAAGGCGACGAUCCGUAGCUGGUCUGAGAGGAUGAUCAGCCACACUGGAACUGAGACACGGUCCAGACUCCUACGGGAGGCAGCAGUGGGGAAUAUUGGACAAUGGGCGCAAGCCUGAUCCAGCCAUACCGCGUGGGUGAAGAAGGCCUUCGGGUUGUAAAGCCCUUUUGUUGGGAAAGAAAAGCAGCAGGUUAAUACCCCGCUGUUCUGACGGUACCCAAAGAAUAAGCACCGGCUAACUUCGUG